rnacentral:rRNA from 1 species
AUGAACGCUAGCGACAGGCCUAACACAUGCAAGGUCGAGGGGCAGCACAAGGAGCAAUCUGAGGUGGCGACCGGCGCACGGGUGAGUAACACGUAUGCAACCUGCCUGUAAGCGGGGAAUAACCCGUUGAAAGACGGACUAAUACCGCAUAAUACUAAAUUACUGCAUGGUAAUUUAUUUAAACAUUUAUGGCUUUCAGAUGGGCAUGCGCAUGAUUAGCUAGUUGGAGAGGUAACGGCUCCCCAAGGCAACGAUCAUUAGGGGUUCUGAGAGGAAGGUCCCCCACACUGGUACUGAGACACGGACCAGACUCCUACGGGAGGCAGCAGUGAGGAAUAUUGGUCAAUGGACGAGAGUCUGAACCAGCCAAGUCGCGUGCAGGAAGAAUGUCCUAAUGGAUUGUAAACUGCUUUUGCAGGGGAAUAAAGUGCAUCACGUGUGAUGUUUUGUAUGUACUCUGCGAAUAAGGAUCGGCUAACUCCGUGCCAGCCGCUGC